GCUAGCCUUAAACCUAGAUAGCAAAAUACCACCUAUCCGCCAGAGAAUACAAGCAAAAUACUUAAAACUCAAAGGACUUGGCGGCAUUCCAUAUCAACCUAGAGGAGCCCGUCCAAUAAUCGAUAAUACACGCUCAACCCCACCACUUUUGGCCACUCCAGCCUAUAUACCGCCGUCGUCAGCUAACCUUGUGAAAGAAAAGUAGUAAGCACAAUAGUCCGCACUAAAACGUCAGGUCAAGGUGUAGCUAAUAAAGUGGGUGUGAUAGGCUACAUUUUCUAUUAUAGAAAACACGAAAAAUACAAUGAAACCUUGUAAUAGAAGGUGAAUUUAGAAGUAAACUAAGAAAUGACCCUUAUUUUAAUGCUGCCCUGGAAUGCGCACACACCGCCCGUCACCCUCCUCAAAAUAAUCAGAUGAGGCAAGUCGUAACAUGGUAAGCGUACUGGAAAGUGCGCUUGGAUU
rnacentral:rRNA from 1 species